GAAUGGCUCAUUAUAUAAGUUAUCGUUUAUUUGAUAGUACCUUACUACUUGGAUAACCGUGGUAAUUCUAGAGCUAAUACAUGCUAAAAAUCCCGACUUCGGAAGGGAUGUAUUUAUUAGAUUAAAAACCAAUGCCCUCUGGGCUCCUUGGUGAUUCAUAAUAACUUUUCGAAUCGCAUGGCCUUGCGCCGGCGAUGGUUCAUUCAAAUUUCUUCCCUAUCAACUUUCGAUGUUUGGGUAUUGGCCAAACAUGGUCGCAACGGGUAACGGAGGGUUAGGGCUCGACCCCGGAGAAGGAGCCUGAGAAACGGCUACUACAUCCAAGGAAGGCAGCAGGCGCGCAAAUUACCCAAUCCCGAUUCGGGGAGGUAGUGACAAUAAAUACUGAUACAGGGCUCUUUUGGGUCUUGUAAUUGGAAUGAGUACAAUUUAAAUCCCUUAACGAGGAACAAUUGGAGGGCAAGUCUGGUGCCAGCAGCCGCGGUAAUUCCAGCUCCAAUAGCGUAUAUUAAAGUUGUUGUGGUUAAAAAGCUCGUAGUUGAACCUUGGGCCUGGCUGGCCGGUCCGCCUCACCGCGUGUACUGGUCCGGCCGGGCCUUUCCCUCUGUGGAACCUCAUGCCCUUCACUGGGUGUGGCGGGGAAACAGGACUUUUACUUUGAAAAAAUUAGAGUGCUCCAGGCAGGCCUAUGCUCGAAUACAUUAGCAUGGAAUAAUGAAAUAGGACGUGUGGUUCUAUUUUGUUGGUUUCUAGGACCGCCGUAAUGAUUAAUAGGGACAGUCGGGGGCAUCAGUAUUCAAUUGUCAGAGGUGAAAUUCUUGGAUUUAUUGAAGACUAACUACUGCGAAAGCAUUUGCCAAGGAUGUUUUCAUUAAUCAGGAACGAAAGUUAGGGGAUCGAAGACGAUCAGAUACCGUCGUAGUCUUAACCAUAAACUAUGCCGACUAGGGAUCGGACGAUGUUAUUUUUUGACGCGUUCGGCACCUUACGAGAAAUC
rnacentral:rRNA from 1 species